UAAAGACUGCUAGCGAUUGGAGGCAGCGGAGUUCUGAACUGCCACGCGUCUCUUGAAUAUAUUUUACAAAAAGCCCUCCCUGUUAAUGGAAAUUAUUCUGUAGUCCUAAACCCUAGACCCCUUCCCCCGCAUUCGUCGCUCCCCUUGUCCCUCUCAUGUCCCCGCCGCCACCAUCGUUGCUCGCCCGCGCACGCCUUCCAACUCACCGUUGCUCGAGCAUGGACGCGGUGCGUCCUCGUUAAUGUGGGGGAGCGUGUGGAGCCACGUGAUAUCCGGCUGCACGCAGAUCAGACAGACCUCACCCGCCUCCGGGGCGAUCAUGGUCGGCGGCGGCGGAGGAAGCACAUUGCCUUCCCCAAAGCAGCCCAAGCCUUAUGGAGAAGAAGGUGAAGGUGGUGGUCAACCUAGGCCAGAUAGAUGCUGCGACCCUGGAUGAGCUUGUGUGGCUGGUCGAGCACUGUCAUCCACCGCAUGGAUCAGAGGUAGGCCGGCAGCUACAACACUGAGAUGCAAACUGGAGGUGACCAGCCUGGCAAGGUAAUUUCACUUCCUUUUGUUCUUUGGUGCAUUCCUAUAUAUAUGGAUGUUCUACAGCAGUCUUCAUGCAUGGAAAUAAAUCGAUAGUGUGAGAGAGCAGGAGAUCACUCUCCCGUGUACUCCCCUGUUGCUGGCAUUGAUGUUUCCAUGACUGAUGCCCUCAAUGUGUUUGAUAAAAUUGGCACAACGUAUACAUUUUUUCCUUUCAAUUUUGCUUGCUGAUUUUGUACAGUCCCAUAUCUAUCAGUUGCGCUUGGGAUAUUCAGGUUCAGAGUUCAGUAUAGAGAUUGGCAUGAGUUCAGUGAGUUCAGUGCAAUUGCAAUUUUUCAGUGCAAUUGAUGAGACUGUGUUCUUGUCCUAGACAUACACUUUGUUAUGAAUUGAUGUGCUGAUCCUUUACAAUUGUUUAUCAACAGGCUACUUCUUUGUCGCCUUGCUAUCAGUAUACUAUAUUUGCAACCUACGAGUUCCUAAACAUACACUCAAAUUCAGUUUUGCCAUAUGUGUUGAUGCAUAUUUAUUUAAUUACUUAUCUAAAUUCACACAACAAUCAGAUUGAUGUGUAUCUUACUGCUAUUUUUUUUCAAGUUUGCCUUCUAGGUUUCUAAUACGAGGAGAGAUAGAGAAAAGUAAAGCUUUAAAAUUAUUCUUUUCCAAGCUUGCCUUCUUGGUUUCUAAUCGUAGGAGAGACAGAGAAAACUAAAUCUUUGUGUAUGAUUUUUUGCUUGUCAGCUACAGAAAAAACAGAGAGGCAAGCAUGUUGGCAGCAGGCGCUUUAGGGUAACGGGCAACAUGGUGGAAUUGUAGUGGGCUAUUUGAAGCAUUUUUUUUUUUGGUUCAGAGAGAGAUAUGAAAGUGAGGUGGUUCUAUGUCUCAUGGUUAUUUUGUCAAUAAUUCUUUAAUGAGUCACAAUGUCAUCAAAUUUUUUAUUAAUUUUGCUUAUAUAGAGUGGUAUUUUCUGAAUAUGAUGCUGACAUUUUGGUUGGCUCAGCCUUUCGAACAGGAUAUGCAUAUCUUUUCUCGGUUUAUCAUGGCUUGUCAGAUUCUUAUCAUUUCUGUAGAUAAUAGGGAAUAUAGCAAUGAACGAAUUUCUACUUAGCUCUCUGCUUCUGUAACCCUUGUUGAUAAAUAUUUGCUCCAAUUUUUUAUAAUUUACAGUGCAAUUGUGUCAAAAAAUUGUGCAGAAUUAAUUGCUCUAUGAGUAAAAGUGCCAUAAAAUAUUUUACAACAAAAUUAUUAUAUGUCUAUGCAUUAUAGUCGUAGCUCUAUGAGGUUUAAAUUUCAUUGAGUGAGUGAUGAAUUAGUGUAGAAGACCAGAAAUUGUACUGAACAAAUUGUCCUGAACGCUUGUCCUUCAUGUAACUGAAGAGUGCAAGGGAUGCAAUUAGAUAAUUAUGAAUUGGACUAUCGUUUCUUAACUGGCAACAUUAUAUGCAUCCAAGAUGGGGCUACUCUAGACUUAAUGUAGAAAGAGUACCUACUUGACUGCACCUUUAUGUAAUAAUAUGAUGGCACCUGGAAUAUGAGUAUGGUCUUCUGCUUUUGCUAUGGUUUUAAUUGAUAUGGUAUUCAUGGGAUACAAGGUCCAUUCCUGCAAUUCGACCCAAUAGAAAUGCUACAGCCAGCCUGAUUGCUUAUUUACAAACUAAACUGAUCACUAGCCUGUCAUUUUUAUAUAACAUUUUUAUCAUUAGUACAAACAGCAAACUGUGUAGAAUUUCUUUUCCAUGCAUCUCCAGUCACUGGUUUGAACAUCCUUAACCGGAGGAGAAGCAAAUUUAAUCAAGUGCUACUAACCUUGUCUGGAGAACAUACUAGAAAUGCUGCAUAAGCUAUUUUGAGCAAGCCAAUGUUCAAAUCAGAGCCUCCAAUAUAAUCACGUGUGUGAUAACUCAGCCUAUAUUUACCUUCACCUUUUGAGCUAAAUUUGCGCAACAGCUUGAUUCUGUAUGAUGCUUUCUUACACCAUGAUCUUUGUUGUUAUUUACUUCAAGGAAUUGAUUCAUGAAUGUCUCCGGAAUCAGUGGCCACUAGAUAUCACUUUCUCAAGAUGUUCGAUUGCUGAAACAUUGUUUUGUUUCUUAUGCACCUCACCUUGCCUGCUCUAUGGUGAGAUGAACUUACAGGCAGCUGCAGCACUUGACAAAUAAGAGAACAUGUUGCUACACCAUCUGUAUCUUCACUCAAGCGAGUCUCUCCGUUGGUUGUGCAUCUUUUUUAUAAACGAAUGAAAUGUUGAGAAGGUUCAUUGUAAAGUGGGCCCUUUCUUUAUGAGCUCGAGUGGUUUUCUUCCCUUAAAUAGUAUGGACCUUGCAGUUCCGGCGACGUUCUUAGGGGUACUCAAUAGUAUAUUAAUUGCCUCCGAUUGUAAGAAUGUUGAAUCCAGCAAAUGCCUUCACUUGUAUCAGUUGCAGCAUUGGUCUCUUUGCUGUUUGUAACUGUACUUCUAAAAGAUAACGCAUGAUAGGAGAUUACUUUUAUUGUGAAACUUUAGGCUAAA